rnacentral:lncRNA from 1 species
CAGUAGGGCCAGAAGGCUGCCGUGGAGAGGGUGGUGCCUUACCUCACGCAGACUCCCCAUUCCCAGCCCUGCUCCCCAACUGGACCCUUCUUCUUGAGCCAGCAUUCUUGCCUGCUUUGAGCAGCCAUGGCCUCACAAAGGAAUGACCGGAUCCAGGCUUCAAGGAAUGGACUGAAGGGGAAGGUGCUAACUCUGGAUACCAUGAACCCAUGUGUGCGGAGGGUGGAGUAUGCAGUCCGAGGCCCCAUCGUGCAACGUGCCUUGGAGCUGGAGCAGGAGCUGCGCCAGGGUGUGAAGAAGCCUUUUACUGAGGUUAUCCGUGCCAAUAUUGGGGAUGCACAAGCCAUGGGGCAGAGACCCAUCACCUUCUUCCGCCAGGUUAGGCUGCUGUACUACCUGUGGUUACUCCUCCUUCCCCAGCUGCUCUGGACUCAGUACUUGGUUCUUCCAGGUCCUGGCCCUCUGUGUCUACCCCAAUCUUCUGAGCAGUCCGGACUUCCCAGAGGAUGCCAAGAGAAGGGCAGAACGCAUCUUGCAGGCAUGCGGGGGCCACAGCCUGGGUGAGUGCGAGCUCUAGGUGGAGCCCAAGCCUUAAGGAGAGGCAGAGAGGGACGAGUCCCUUGGGAAGAUUACAGGACUUGGCCCACCUCAUUUAGCUUGUCCCCUUUCAGGUGCCUAUAGCAUUAGCUCUGGAAUCCAGCCGAUUCGGGAGGAUGUGGCGCAAUAUAUUGAGAGGAGAGACGGAGGCAUCCCUGCAGACCCGAACAACAUAUUUCUGUCCACAGGGGCCAGCGAUGCCAUCGUGGUAGGGUAGCCCAGGGCAGGGCAGGUCAAAUCGGAGUAGCCCUAUGUGUGAGGCUAGAUGGGGCUGAGUCUGGUGCAGCAGCGUCAGCACAGGGCGGUGGUGGGGGCGGGGUGGGGUGUACAACUCUGGUUGCACUAACGCUGGGCUCCCUAUCCGGCCUACAGACCAUGCUCAAGCUGCUGGUAGCCGGCGAGGGCCGUGCGCGAACCGGUGUACUCAUUCCCAUUCCUCAGUACCCACUGUACUCAGCUGCGCUGGCUGAGCUGGACGCCGUGCAAGUGGACUACUACCUGGACGAAGAGCGCGCCUGGGCUCUUGACAUCGCUGAGCUGCGGCGCGCUCUGUGCCAGGCACGUGACCGCUGCUGCCCUCGAGUACUAUGCGUCAUCAACCCCGGCAACCCCACGGGUAAACCUAUCAGCUCCGCCCCCUGCAGUUUCACUCUUUUUACCCCCCCCCCCCCGCUAGCUCCGCCUCACUGGGCUCCUCCUUCCAGCCCCGCCUCUUCCUCCAGAACCUGCCCUUGCUCUCCAACCCCAAGCGCCUGGGCUGAGCACUCUUGGGCUUGGUUCUCUGUUGCCCGCGGGCGGCUGACUUUCCAGUCAGUGAUGCAUCUUCACACUCCAGGGCAGGUGCAGACCCGUGAAUGCAUCGAGGCCGUAAUCCGCUUUGCUUUCGAAGAGGGACUCUUCCUGAUGGCUGAUGAGGUACACACAGGGGCACACAGAGUGGUGAGCAGCAGCUCAGCCCCCAGCCUGAAUGACACUGCCACCCCUACAGGUAUACCAAGACAAUGUAUAUGCUGAGGGCUCUCAGUUCCAUUCAUUCAAGAAGGUGCUCACGGAGAUGGGGCCACCAUAUGCCACGCAGCAGGAGCUCGCGUCUUUCCACUCAGUCUCUAAGGGCUACAUGGGCGAGUGCGUACAGGCUCAGGUGGUGGUGGUGGUGGUGAAGCGGGGAGGGCUAGAGGACUCUCAGUCACUGCCACGGUGGCGCACCCUCUUCCCAGACCAGCCUCAACUCAUGCUCUCCUGGGCAGGUGCGGGUUUCGUGGUGGCUAUGUGGAAGUGGUAAACAUGGAUGCCGAGGUGCAGAAACAGAUGGCGAAACUGAUGAGCGUGCGGUUGUGUCCACCAGUGCCGGGCCAGGCUUUGAUGGGCAUGGUGGUCAGUCCGCCAACCCCCUCGGAGCCGUCCUUCAAGCAGUUUCAAGCAGUGAGCAGACCAGACCAGGCCAAAGAUACCUGGUGAUCCGGCUUUGGGUGGGACUAUAGAGGGACACGUUGAAACCCUCUUCCAUGAUUCCCUCCUGUGACUGCAGGAGAGGCAGGAGGUGCUGGCUGAACUGGCAGCCAAGGCUAAACUCACGGAGCAGGUCUUCAACGAGGCCCCCGGGAUCCGCUGCAACCCGGUGCAGGGCGCUAUGUAUUCCUUCCCUCAAAUUCAGCUGCCUUUGAAAGCAGUGCAGCGUGCGCAGGUGGGGCAUGCAGGGCUACAUGGGGGCCGAGCAGGGUGUGGGCCUGGCGCCAGGCUGUGAGCUGACCACCCUCCUGACCCCCAGGACCUGGGCCUGGCCCCUGACAUGUUCUUCUGUCUGUGCCUCCUGGAAGAGACUGGCAUCUGCGUUGUGCCUGGGAGUGGCUUUGGGCAGCAGGAGGGCACCUAUCAUUUCCGGUGAGACCCGGGAUGGGUUGACCCUGCCACUAAUGGACCUGUACUUCACGCUGACCAUUUGUCCUUUUCAGGAUGACCAUUCUGCCCCCCAUGGAGAAACUGCGGGUGCUGCUGGAGAAACUGAGGCACUUCCAUGCUAAAUUCACUCAUGAGUACUCCUGAAGCCACUGCUAGGGCCACACUGGAUGCUCUCUGACUCAACAAACUGAGGGUCCUUGGGAGCCCUCACUAUUUCUGAUUUUGCAUAGGGUCUGGGUACUUGUCCCUGCAGGUCCCUAAUAAAGCUGGGUGUAGGCCUGAUUUGAGGUGGCUGCCUGGGUGACCCC